CAGGAGGCCUGCCUCCGGGUACUCCGAGGCACCGUACACCCCUAACCAUACGUACAGCCAGCCUGGGUAUAGGACAGUCAGGAACGACAGUGAUGGGCGUUUAUGGUGUAGUUGCUGCUGCACAGACAUGAAGCUACACAUGGGGUAAUAGUUCCUACUGCUGUAACCUUCAUACAUCAGCUUCUUCGUUGAGGCAAACGUAGAAGCGGACCAUGCAAGCUGCAAUGGAUAUUACGGCAAAGUAUUGCCAUAAAGAAAUGGAGGCGUACGGUUCUUGUGUGGCCUCCAAUCCAUCGACAUGGCAAGAAAAGUGUUAUGAGCUCAAGAUGAAGGUUGCACAGUGCACAUCAUCACACCCAGUGAUACAGAAAAUCAGACAGGACUGUUCCAAACAAUUUGUGGAAUUUGAGCGCUGUCUUAGAGAGAACCAGGACCAACCUACCUCCUGCUCACCACAUGUGGCUCGCUUUCUGGGCUGUGCAGAGACAGUGGACCUCAGUGGAGUGGAUACCAAUCCGUUACCUCAGCCAUCGUAGCGUUUAGACAUCUUCCAUCAUCUGCGAGUUACUCCUGUAGCCCCAGCAGCACGGAUGGGUGGGUUUUUAAAUGAGCCCCUGCCUUCUUAUGUACAAUUACUGUUUGAUUACUGCUGUGUAACUUAAUGUGACCAUUUGUCUUUCUUCAACAAAGAUGUAGGAGAUUAAUGCAACAGCACUGUGAGUUAGGCUGGUAGUGAGCUAGGAAUAUUUAAUAACUGCUCAUAACAGUUUUAUUGCCUGUAUUCAAGGAUCUCUUUUUUUUACUGAUGAUUAUUGAACAGUCUUAUUAAAAUUGGCAUCAGGCUUGUACUACUUAUCCA